rnacentral:sRNA from 2 species
UAUCCUGCCCAUGCGGGAAGGAUGAGAAGCUUCGACUAAGGUUCGAUUCGAGCGUAGCGAGAAAGCGUUGCCGCAGGCAACGACCCGAAGGGCGAAGCGCGCAGCGCUGAGUAAUCCUUCCCCCACCACCA